rnacentral:rRNA from 1 species
CACCCCCACUGGGACUCAGACCCCCCCCCUACUCCUACGGGAGGAAGCUAUGGGAAAUUAUGGACAAUGGGGGCCACCCUGCCCCCCCAAUGGCGAGAGAGUGAAGAAGGCCUUCCUGGUGUAAAGCUCUUUUGAACGAGAAGAAACAACUGCUCUGACCCACUCUGCGGAUGACGGUACCUGAAGAAUCAGCACCGCCUCACUACGUGCCCCCAGGCGCGAUAAUACGUACGGUGUAAUCGUUAAUCUGAAUUGCUGGGGGGAAAGCGUGGGCCGGAGGUUAUACAAGACAGGCCUCCCCUCCCCCGGCUUAACCAGCGAAUGGCCUCUGUGACUGUAUAGCUAGAGUGAGUCAGAAGGGGGUGGAA